rnacentral:rRNA from 1 species
GAUGAACGCUGGCGGCGUGCCUAAUACAUGCAAGUCGAGCGAACAGACGAGGAGCUUGCUCCUCUGACGUUAGCGGCGGACGGGUGAGUAACACGUGGAUAACCUACCUAUAAGACUGGGAUAACUUCGGGAAACCGGAGCUAAUACCGGAUAAUAUCUUGAACCGCAUGGUUCAAUAGUGAAAGACGGUUUUGCUGUCACUUAUAGAUGGAUCCGCGCCGCAGUAGCUAGUUGGUAAGGUAACGGCUUACCAAGGCAACGAUGCGUAGCCGACCUGAGAGGGUGAUCGGCCACGCUGGAACUGAGACACGGCCCUGACUCCUACGGAAGGCAGCAGUAGGGAAUCUUCCGCAAUGGGCGAAAGCUUGACGGAGCAACGCCGCGUGAGUGAUGAAGGUCUUCGGAUCGUAAAACUCUGUUAUUAGGGAAGAACAAAUGUGUAAGUAACUAUGCACGUCUUGACGGUACCUAAUCAGAAAGCCACGGCUAACUACGUG